rnacentral:rRNA from 1 species
GAUCAGUGCUUUGAAUGUCAAAGUGAAGAGAUUCAUCAAAGCGCAAGUAAACGGCGGGAGGAACUAUGACUCUGUAUGCUAUGC